rnacentral:lncRNA from 1 species
CUAAUAUGAUUGUGGUACAUAAUAAUAUGAUGCUAAUGCUAAAAUUUGUCUUCUGCUCUUCCAUAGGGAAAAUCACUCUCUUCCACUGGCCUGCUGACUACAGAGGGAGCCCAGGGUGACCACCUGGCUGGUUUAACUGCUCAUCAAUGAAUCACAACGCUGCACGGAACAAGUAACUUUCCUUAAAGGACCCCCUCUAAAAUCUUUUCAGGUUUCAGAAACUCAGUGACCAUACUUUGAUGACAAGCCAGAUGGCAGCUGUUCCCCAAGCCCAGUGCCAAGAAAGAUGAUUGGAGCUGCAAUUUACCUUCCGUGGUGAAGCUCAAUGCUGGAGCAUACCACAGCUGCGGAUUUGGCUGCUGCCAGUAGGUGUGUGCACAGUUGGUUUCCUCCCAAUUUGGAUUCAUCAGGGACCAGUUGUCUGGCUUGGAAAACUACUUCUUAGUGGUUCAGUAUGUUCACAAACUUCCUUUAGGUAAAGUAAGUACUGCUGCUCUGUGCAUUUAAUUUUCCCAGGUAUUUACUUACCUGUAUUUAUCAAUAACCACACCAGCUAUGAUCUUCAUUGCUUCUUAAUCGCCCAUACUCUUUUAUUUCCCUUUAAAUGAUAGAUUCAAAAAAAAAAAGCAGCUUAGUGGUUCAGUCAUAUUAAAAUCAUAAUUGAUUUUGCCUCACUCCUCAUUUAUUAAUGGACUUAGACUACCUUCUUGCUAAUAAACCUCCCAGUAAUGAGUUUAGUCCA